GAAUAUUCCGUUAUAAGGGUUGGGUUUGAGGGUUCUAGUCUUUGCCCCUGUUUUUCAACCAUUAAAAGUGUCAAAAAUGUGCAAUUCUCAACCCUUAAAACUGGUUUUUGUUUUAAGGGUUUGAGGGUUCUACUAGACUUGCUCUAACAAGAUGAACAAGCGGUCUUGUACGUGUUUCGUAAAGUAAAGAGUGUGAUAUUUUGGAUUAGGGGUGAAUGUAGGAUAAUCCAAACAUGGGCUAGCUCAUUGAGUCCGGUUAGGAUUAGUAGUGUGAUCAACGCUGCCGAAUGAUUAGUUUAGGAAAUCUAGGUUUAGUCGGUUUGUACUUUCCUAAUACUAGUAUGAGUCCGAUUAGAAUAUAGAGUCAGGCUUGGCAGGACGUAUAUAAAUACAUGGACAGGUUAUAGCUUUGUAACAUAUCGAGUUGUAAGAUAUUGAGAAAAGCAAUAAAGAGACAACUACGAGGCACGACACGUGCCUCUGGCUAAUUUUGAGUUGAUGCGUUCGUGCGAGUGUGUUG
rnacentral:lncRNA from 1 species